rnacentral:rRNA from 1 species
UACAGGCUUAACACAUGCAAGUCGAGGGGCAUCAGGAAGAAAGCUUGCUUUCUUUGCUGGCGACCGGCGCACGGGUGAGUAACACGUAUCCAACCUGCCCUUUACUCGGGGAUAGCCUUUCGAAAGAAAGAUUAAUACCCGAUAGCAUAAUGAUUCCGCAUGGUUUCAUUAUUAAAGGAUUCCGGUAAAGGAUGGGGAUGCGUUCCAUUAGGUUGUUGGUGAGGUAACGGCCCACCAAGCCUUCGAUGGAUAGGGGUUCUGAGAGGAAGGUCCCCCACAUUGGAACUGAGACACGGUCCAAACUCCUACGGGAGGCAGCAGUGAGGAAUAUUGGUCAAUGGGCGCUAGCCUGAACCAGCCAAGUAGCGUGAAGGAUGAAGGCUCUAUGGGUCGUAAACUUCUUUUAUAUAAGAAUAAAGUGCAGUAUGUAUACUGUUUUGUAUGUAUUAUAUGAAUAAGGAUCGGCUAACUCCGUGCCAGCAGCCGCGGUAAUACGGAGGAUCCGAGCGUUAUCCGGAUUUAUUGGGUUUAAAGGGAGCGUAGGUGGACUGGUAAGUCAGUUGUGAAAGUUUGCGGCUCAACCGUAAAAUUGCAGUUGAUACUGUCAGUCUUGAGUACAGUAGAGGUGGGCGGAAUUCGUGGUGUAGCGGUGAAAUGCUUAGAUAUCACGAAGAACUCCGAUUGCGAAGGCAGCUCACUGGACUGCAACUGACACUGAUGCUCGAAAGUGUGGGUAUCAAACAGGAUUAGAUACCCUGGUAGUCCACACAGUAAACGAUGAAUACUCGCUGUUUGCGAUAUACAGUAAGCGGCCAAGCGAAAGCAUUAAGUAUUCCACCUGGGGAGUACGCCGGCAACGGUGAAACUCAAAGGAAUUGACGGGGGCCCGCACAAGCGGAGGAACAUGUGGUUUAAUUCGAUGAUACGCGAGGAACCUUACCCGGGCUUAAAUUGCAGUGGAAUGAUGUGGAAACAUGUCAGUGAGCAAUCACCGCUGUGAAGGUGCUGCAUGGUUGUCGUCAGCUCGUGCCGUGAGGUGUCGGCUUAAGUGCCAUAACGAGCGCAACCCUUAUCUUCAGUUACUAACAGGUCAUGCUGAGGACUCUGGAGAGACUGCCGUCGUAAGAUGUGAGGAAGGUGGGGAUGACGUCAAAUCAGCACGGCCCUUACGUCCGGGGCUACACACGUGUUACAAUGGGGGGUACAGAAGGCAGCUAGCGGGUGACCGUAUGCUAAUCCCAAAAGCCUCUCUCAGUUCGGAUCGAAGUCUGCAACCCGACUUCGUGAAGCUGGAUUCGCUAGUAAUCGCGCAUCAGCCACGGCGCGGUGAAUACGUUCCCGGGCCUUGUACACACCGCCCGUCAAGCCAUGGGAGCCGGGGGUACCUGAAGUACGUAACCGCAAGGAUCGUCCUAGGGUAAAACUGGUGACUGGGGCUAAGUCAUAAC